AUUGAACGCUGGCGGAAUGCUUUACACAUGCAAGUCGAACGGCAGCACGGGGGCAACCCUGGUGGCGAGUGGCGAACGGGUGAGUAAUACAUCGGAACGUGCCCAGUCGUGGGGGAUAACGUAGCGAAAGUUACGCUAAUACCGCAUACGAUCUACGGAUGAAAGCGGGGGACCGUAAGGCCUCGCGCGAUUGGAGCGGCCGAUGUCAGAUUAGGUAGUUGGUGAGGUAAAGGCUCACCAAGCCGACGAUCUGUAGCUGGUCUGAGAGGACAACCAGCCACACUGGGACUGAGACACGGCCCAGACUCCUACGGAAGGCAGCAGUGUGUAAUUUUGGACAAUGGGCGAAAGCCUGAUCCAGCCAUUCCGCGUGCAGGACGAAGGCCUUCGGGUUGUAAACUGCUUUUGUACGGAACGAAAAGGCUCUGGUUAAUACCUGGGGCUCAUGACGGUACCGUAAGAAUAAGCACCGGCUAACUACGUGCCAGCAGCCGCCGUAA
rnacentral:rRNA from 1 species